rnacentral:lncRNA from 1 species
AGAACUGACUCCAUAUACCAAGCAGGGGGUGCAUAGAGUUUUCACACUGGAGUUUAAUUAAGAAGAGACAGCAGGUCCAGGGGAAAGAGGUUGAAUUCCCUCUGGGCCUGGAACCAAGCCAUGAAGAUCUUGGAGCCAGGACUCUAGACCCGAUGUUCCCAUUCACCAAGUGGAGAAGCCCUGAGGAUCCAGGAUGCCUGGGACUCAAGCCUAAGGGAGGCUUUGGACUUGGCUCUUGGGACUGUGCUAUGUAGGAGCUGAAUUAAACUGUGAUGUCCAUCUCCUUUCUUUCCCUCAAGCAGAUGGUGCCAGAGGAAUCACUGCUAAACAAGUAAGCACUGAGGAUAAAAAGACAAAAGUACAGAGUUUCUCUUCUCAAAGAGCUUCCAUUUUCUUCCAUAAAAGUGGGUUAAUAACAUGGAAUCAAGUAAAAAGAAAAGAUGAAGAGCAAAUUCAAAGUAAUUUGGUAUCUACAGGAAGAAACACUGGGAUGAAGAGAGUGAAGUACCAUCUGUCCCUCUAAGGUCUGCAGUUGAUUGCCCAAGACUUUAGAAUCCGUGCAUCUUCUUAGUCUUUCUCAGCAGAAAGUAAGCUG